GAGGAAUAUUGGUCAAUGGGCGAGAGCCUGAACCAGCCAAGUCGCGUGAAGGAAGAAGGUUCUAUGGAUUGUAAACUUCUUUUGCAGGGGAAUAAAGGACGGUACGUGUACUGUUUUGUAUGUACCUUGCGAAUAAGGAUCGGCUAACUCCGUGCCAGCAGCCGCGGUAAUACGGAGGAUCCGAGCGUUAUCCGGAUUUAUUGGGUUUAAAGGGUGCGUAGGUGGAUUGUUAAGUCAGUGGUGAAAGUUCUCAGCUCAACUGAAAAAUUGCCGUUGAAACUGUCGAUCUUGAGUGCAAAUGAGGUAGGCGGAAUGUGUUGUGUAGCGGUGAGAUGCUUAGAUAUAACACAGAACUCCGAUUGCGAAGGCAGCUUACUGGGAUGCAACUGAUACUGAUGCACGAAAGCGUGGGUAUCAAAC
rnacentral:rRNA from 1 species